rnacentral:rRNA from 1 species
AUUGAACGCUGGCGGCAGGCCUAACACAUGCAAGUCGAACGAGUGGCGGACGGGUGGGUAAUGUCUGGGAAACUGCGCGAUGGAGGGGGUUAACUACUGGAAACGGUAGCUACUACCGUCUACCAUCGGAUGGGCCGAGGUGGGAUUAGCUAGUUGGUGGGGUAACGGCUGACCUAGGCGACGAUCCCUACCUGGUCUGAGAGGAUGACCAGCCACACUGGAACUGAGACACGGUCCAGACUCCUACGGGAGGCAGCAGUGGGGAAUAUUGCAUAAUGGGCGCAAGCCUGAUGCAGCCAUGCCGCGUGUAUGAAGAAGGCCUUCGGGUUGUAAAGUACUUUAAGUGAGGAGGCGUUACUCGCAGAAGAAGCACCGGCUAACUCCGUGCCAGCAGCCGCGGUAAUUC